rnacentral:rRNA from 1 species
CAGCAGCCACGGGAAUACGUAGGGUGCAAGCGUUAAUCGGAAUUACUGGGCGUAAAGCGUGCGCAGGCGGUUUUGUAAGUUUGUCGUGAAAGCCCCGGGCUCAACCUGGGAAUUGCGAUGAAGACUGCAAGGCUUGAAUCUGGCAGAGGGGGGUAGAAUUCCACGUGUAGCAGUGAAAUGCGUAGAGAUGUGGAGGAACACCGAUGGCGAAGGCAGCCCCCUGGGUCAAGAUUGACGCUCAUGCACGAAAGCGUGGGGAGCAAACAGGAUUAGAUACCCGCGUAGUCCCUGUCUCUUAUAC